AGCUUGCUUGGUGGAUCAGUGGCGAACGGGUGAGUAACACGUGAGCAACCUGCCCUGGACUCUGGGAUAAGCGCUGGAAACGGCGUCUAAUACUGGAUAUGAGCCCCUAUCGCAUGGUGGGGGUUGGAAAGAUUUUUUGGUCUGGGAUGGGCUCGCGGCCUAUCAGCUUGUUGGUGAGGUAAUGGCUCACCAAGGCGUCGACGGGUAGCCGGCCUGAGAGGGUGACCGGCCACACUGGGACUGAGACACGGCCCAGACUCCUACGGGAGGCAGCAGUGGGGAAUAUUGCACAAUGGGCGAAAGCCUGAUGCAGCAACGCCGCGUGAGGGAUGACGGCCUUCGGGUUGUAAACCUCUUUUAGCAGGGAAGAAGCGAAAGUGACGGUACCUGCAGAAAAAGCGCCGGCUAACUACGUGCCAGCAGCCGCGGUAAUACGUAGGGCGCAAGCGUUAUCCGGAAUUAUUGGGCGUAAAGAGCUCGUAGGCGGUUUGUCGCGUCUGCUGUGAAAUCCCGAGGCUCAACCUCGGGCCUGCAGUGGGUACGGGCAGACUAGAGUGCGGUAGGGGAGAUUGGAAUUCCUGGUGUAGCGGUGGAAUGCGCAGAUAUCAGGAGGAACACCGAUGGCGAAGGCAGAUCUCUGGGCCGUAACUGACGCUGAGGAGCGAAAGGGUGGGGAGCAAACAGGCUUAGAUACCCUGGUAGUCCACCCCGUAAACGUUGGGAACUAGUUGUGGGGACCAUUCCACGGUUUCCGUGACGCAGCUAACGCAUUAAGUUCC
rnacentral:rRNA from 1 species